rnacentral:rRNA from 1 species
GACGAACGCUGGCGGCGUGCCUAAUACAUGCAAGUAGAACGCUGAAGGAGGAGCUUGCUUCUCCGGAUGAGUUGCGAACGGGUGAGUAACGCGUAGGUAACCUGCCUGGUAGCGGGGGAUAACUAUUGGAAACGAUAGCUAAUACCGCAUAAGAGUAGAUGUCGCAUGACAUUUGCUUAAAAGGUGCAACUGCACCACUACCAGAUGGACCUGCGUUGUAUUAGCUAGUUGGUGAGGUAACGGCUCACCAAGGCAACGAUACAUAGCCGACCUGAGAGGGUGAUCGGCCACACUGGGACUGAGACACGGCCCAGACUCCUACGGGAGGCAGCAGUAGGGAAUCUUCGGCAAUGGACGGAAGUCUGACCGAGCAACGCCGCGUGAGUGAAGAAGGUUUUCGGAUCGUAAAGCUCUGUUGUAAGAGAAGAACGAGCGUGAGAGUGGAAAGUUCACACUGUGACGGUAUCUUACCAGAAAGGGACGGCUAACUACGUG